UUCAGCAUUUAGGCUGCCACUCACUAAUGUCUGAGCUCCNAAACUAAGCACAAUCAGGCCUGGUAAACACUUGGAUGGGAGACCACAUGGGAAUACCAGAUAAUGUAGGGA
rnacentral:rRNA from 1 species